UGCAUUUCGACCAGGCU
rnacentral:misc_RNA from 1 species